UUAGUUUCUUAAUUAGAAACUUGUAUGAAUGGUUGGAUGAGAAAAUUACUUUGUUUAAUUAAUUAAAAGAGAAUUUUAUUUUUAAGUUAAAAAGCUUAGAUUUUUUUAUAAGACGAGAAGACCCUAUAGAGUUUAAUAUUAGUGUUGUAUUUAUUGUUAGGAAUAUUAUGUUUUACAGUUUCUAUUAUUUGGUUGGGGCGACUUUAAAAUUUAGUAAACUUUUAUAUUUUUAGUACUUUUAUUUACGAUUGUUUGAUCCAAAUAUUUUGAUUAAAAGAACAAAUUACCUUAGGGAUAACAGCGUGAUUUUUCUGGUGAGUUCAUAUCUAUAGAAAAGAUUGCGACCUCGAUGUUGGAUUAAAAUUUACUAUUGGCGCAGUAGUUGAUGGGUUGAGUCUGUUCGACUUUUAAAAUUUUACAUGAUCUGAGUUCAAACCGGAGA
rnacentral:rRNA from 1 species